GUGAGGUAACGGCUCACCAAGGCAUCGACGGGUAGCUGGUCUGAGAGGACGAUCAGCCACACUGGGACUGAGACACGGCCCAGACUCCUACGGGAGGCAGCAGCAGGGAAUAUUGCACAAUGGGCGAAAGCCUGAUGCAGCGACGCCGCGUGAGGGAUGACGGCCUUCGGGUUGUAAACCUCUUUCAGGAAGGACGAAGCGAAAGUGACGGUACUUCCAGAAGAAGCCCCGGCCAACUACGUGCCAGCAGCCGCGGUAAUACGUAGGGGGCAAACGUUGUCCGGAUUUAUUGGGCGUAAAGAGCUCGUAGGCGGCUCAGCAAGUCGGCCGUGAAAGCCCGAGGCUCAACCUCGGGAGGCCGGUCGAAACUGCUGUGGCUAGGGUCCGGUAGAGGAGAGUGGAAUUCCCGGUGUAGCGGUGAAAUGCGCAGAUAUCGGGAGGAACACCAGUAGCGAAGGCGGCUCUCUGGGCCGGUACCGACGCUGAGGAGCGAAAGCUAGGGGAGCAAACAGGAUUAGAUACCCUGGUAGUCCUAGCUGUAAACGUUGGGCACUAGGUGUGGCGGAUUCAUUGACAUCUGCCGUGCCGAAGCUAACGCAUUAAGUG
rnacentral:rRNA from 1 species